UGCUGCCACGAAGCACGGUUUUUCCCAGUUGAAAGAGAGAAAAGAAGUUCCAUUAACAUUUGUGAGAGAGCUGCCGUAAGCGGUGAACCCCAGACGGGUACCUACCUCGAAGGAGUCGGAGUGUUUCUUCGAACUUUUUGAACUAUUCUGACUGGUUUUUUUUUUGAGGGACAAUUCCAUGUGUGCUGCAUAAGGAGCUGCCAUCGCAGAUCUAGGACACUGUUGCUGCUGUGGAGGGCUUCUGUGUGUCAGGACGCGACUCGUUGAUGCCUGCCGUACCAGGAGGGCGGUAGGAAAAAACAAAAGGAAGUCCACCUGAGAGAUACUUUAUCAUUUUCUUUUGCUACUUUUUUCCCGCCUGGAACUCAGGUUGUUUUUUGUUCUCAAACCCAAAUAGACUGGUAACUAAAUGAAACUGAUACCAUAAAACCUGACGGUUGACAACCAGUAAAAGUCUAGUGGUACCACAUUUUCUUUUCUUUUUCCUUUUCUUUGGGGUGUUGAAAUAUUGUAUUUUCUUUCUUGUCUUACAUCUGUUUUGAUUGUUUCAAUUAUUUUUGUGAUGCAUUUGAGAUGUUUACUGCAUUUGAAGGUAUCCCUACAUUGAGGAUGAGCAAAGGGAACUGAUCCAAGGAAAAUAUAUAUAUAAAGCAAGCCUUGUUUCACCAA